UACGUAGGUGGCAAGCGUUGUCCGGAUUUACUGGGCGUAAAGAGCGCGCAGGCGGUUGUUUAAGUCGAAUGUGAAAGCCCCCGGCUCAACUGGGGAGGGUCAUUCGAUACUGAUCGACUUGAAGGCAGGAGAGGGAAGUGGAAUUCCGGGUGUAGUGGUGAAAUGCGUAGAUAUCCGGAGGAACACCAGUGGCGAAGGCGGCUCUCUGGGACGGUACUGACGCUGAGACGCGAAAGCGUGGGGAGCGAACAGG
rnacentral:rRNA from 1 species